rnacentral:sRNA from 1 species
GAGUUCUGCAGCCUUACAGAGACUGGCAAAGAAGCCCAAACCAAGGCCCCCAGAGAGAUCCCCCAGGCCCCUUUGGGUCUCUGAGCCUCAGCUGGAGGUGGGGGGUGCCUGCAGUGCCCUGGCUCAGUCUCCUUCUGAAAAGCUGGAUCCAGCUUGUUUGGAGCCCUUGAGCUGAUCUUAGAUCCGGCGCAGGAGACCAACGCCUGCCAUGCUGUUCCGGCUCUCAGAGCACUCCUCACCAGAGGAGGAAGCCUCCCCCCACCAGAGAGCCUCAGGAGAGGGGCACCAUCUCAAGUCGAAGAGACCCAACCCCUGUGCCUAUACACCACCUUCGCUGAAAGGUACUAUCCCCCCACCGACCUUCCUGGCUGUCUGCUUGAUCCCUGGAACUGGGCAGACGCUGGGGGAGCUUUCGUCAGUGGGGAGGGAUUGUUUUGCCACACAUAGCCCGCUGUCAGCGUGGCGGUAAAGACCAAUUUUUUCUCAGUCUGGCCUUGCAAAACACAGGAGUCCCGAGGCUGCAAUGGGCAGCUAUGGGCCUUAACAUCGGGUGUGGGCUUGAAAGAAAAGAGAUGGCUGGCCUAAGACAACCAGCAGGCAUCAGCGUGGAAGCGACUCCACCUGCAGUUCCUCUUCACCAGGCUGUGCUGGACCACCUCCCACCCCUGCUCAUCCAGGGCGCCUUCUCCUGUGGGCUUCACCCCUGGCCUCCCCUCCCAUUUGCAUCCCAUUU